AGAGUUUUCACUAACUCCAGUUGAUACCUCUCAAGAAAAUUCUUAUAGGCAAUUCAUUGGUUGGUUAAAAGAAAAGGUUGCAGGAUUACACAAAUGCAAUGAUAGUAAAAAAAAUGGCAGAUUUGCUCUCAUUGUCACGUGGUCCCACGCCAUACGUGACAAGUCAUCGCGGGUACCUUAUUAAUGAAUAUAGGUUUCACGUGAAAGAUUAAGAUAAAGGUUUGAGAACUCAGAACUGUGGGAUGGUUGUAGCUGGAGAGACAGAUGAAGAGAAUAAGAACAUUGAUUACUAUGGAGAACUAACAGAUAUACUAGAAUUACAAUUUACUGGUGGAGGAAGAAUAAUUUUAUUUCGAUGUACGUGUUUUGAUGUGUAUGACCAAGAAAAGGGGGUUAAAAUAGAUGAAUAUAGCUUUGUAAGUGUUAACCGCCAGCGAUUUCUGAAAACAACUGAGCCUUUUGUAUUAGCUAACCAAGCAUCACAAGUUUUUUACGUUGACGAUCUUUCCGAUAAAGGUUGGCAUGUUGUACAAAGUUCAACCUCGUGAUACUUUUGAGGUUUUGCAAGAAAAUAUUGAUGAUUUAGAGGAAUUAGAUCAUUCUUCACAACUGAAAAGAAAAAGAACUCAUGAAGGUUUGGAUAUUUAUCAACUCCUUUAUUUAAUUAGGCAACUCACUUAUGAUGAGGGAAGCUUUGUACUGGAUUCCAUUUGAUUUACAAGUUCAGAAAAAGAUUCUAAAACUAUACUAGUGGAUUUUCUCUUAACUGAUUAUAUGUUCUUAUAUGAUGAAUCUGACUUGUUAAAUAUUUGUUUAUCUCCAGGUUUCUAUGCGUCAUGUUUUUGUAAAUUAUCUUUAUUACUGUUGUCUAUGGUCAUGUAACUUCCUAGCUUCUUUCAUAGACCUUCAUAUGAUCAUAUAUGAUAAUACUGACAUUAUAGACAUCUAUUACUCAAUUUUUUUUUUGCUAGGUUGACAUGAAUCCAUCAAAAUAUCAAAAGUCUAAAAUGGAAUCAAGUUCGAAGACUGUUAAGUAUGUGUACGUUCCACCUGGUACCUUAGCAAGGGGGCGAGGACAGAGCUUCAGAGCAUUGGUUUCUGUAAGAGUAAAUGCUGAACAAAGAGGUUUGAUUGGAAAAGUGAUACUCUUUUUCCCCAUGAAGAAGAAGAGAUGCAGGGCACUCAGAGAAGUGAGAGGAACAAAUAGGUGUAAAAAAGUUGCAGGACUCAAAGUUGGAGAAAAGUUGCGCGUCACUUUCUAUCACAAUAGGGUUGUUGGGGAGCACCAUGCCUCAUUUACGUGACACUUAGGUAUAUUGGUCCGUGAUCGUAAUAUGCCCAUUGCGUGUACACUCAUGGGCAAACAUCGAAGAAUAUAAGCUACAACACAUGUGGGAAGCUGUUACGGACAAAUUUGACAGUGAUGACAUAAAUGAUCAACGAGAUCAUGUCUUGAAACAUAUGAGAAAGUUAUGGAAUAAUUGGAGAUGAUCGAUGCACAAGAAUAUUAAGUCUAAGCCAUUCUGUUAUGCUAUAAAAGAUGUUCCAAAAGUGGGUAGACAAGAGUGAUUGGGAAUGGUUAAUCAAGGAGCAUUUUUUUACUGAAAAAUUUAAGGAGACAAGUACAAGAAACUCGGUCAAUAGGUCUAAGUUGAGUAUGCCUCAUCGUACGGAUAGUAAACCAAUUAGGGAGAUAAUUUAUGAAUAGGAGGUAAAGAUGGUACUAGAUGUGGCAACUAUAUUUUCUAGAUUCGUAAGAAGAACAACAAGCUUGUCGAACCUGAAACCAAUGAGAAAUAUGAUAAAAUCAAAGAAUUGGUGCAAUCUGAAUCGUCUCUUACAAAUAUUGAGGUUGUAGAAAGGUGCUUCAGACCUCAACGAAAGAGUCAUGUAGUUGGAUUUGGUGGUGGGAUAAUCGCUAAGGAGUUGAAAGGUGGUAACUCCUCUAAAGCUGCAUUGUUGGAAAAGCUAAAUGCUACUGUAAAAGAAAAUGAAUCACUAAAAGGACGUUUGGAAGGGCUAAAGAGUAAAUAUGAUGAGCUAGGGAGUAAAUACGCACAACUUGCAAAGAUAGUGUUUGAUCAGCCUUCAUCACCAUCUUCAAGUGAUCAAUAAAUUGAAUCAUAUAACGGGUUAGUACAUUGAAAAAUCUAUUUUACUCUAUAAAGCGUACCUUUAUAGUAACCUAAUUUUAGUCCUUUUGGUUUCUUCCGCAUGCCUUAAGUUAAAUUGUCGAUUUGUGCGUUUGUAUUUUCCUGUUUCUUCUUGUAUGUUUUUAAUUUGUGGUGUAUCACCAUUAGACACUGUUUGAAGGAUAUUUAUUUAGAUUGUUCUAUGUGAAAAAGAAGAGCCAGUAAAUUGUAAUUUUUCUUUCUUCAAGGAAACAUUGAAGUCA